AUGGCUUCAACGAGAUCUGCUUCCUGCUUGACCUUUCGUGGUUCCCUAUUUACCUACAUUAUAAACGCCAAUAUUUCUAACUUAAGUUUGAGUUUAAUAUGUUCAAGAGAGAAAGUAUGCUUAAAUGAUCAUACACCACCAUACACCCACCAUCUUGAAACGUUUUUUCCGGAAGGAAUAUUUGUAAGACAUAUGCAUGCAUUGAGAAAUUAUUGGAUUCAUACUGGACCCCAGGAUCUCUUGAGCUUCCAGAAUGGUUCUGACUCAUUGUUUAUAUCAGCAGAAAUCACUGGGAAUUGCCUGGGGCGCUGCCUACCUUCAAGGUGAAGCUGGG
rnacentral:lncRNA from 1 species